GAUGGCGAAGGCAACCCUCUGGCCUGUUACCGACGCUGAAGCGCGAAAGCGUGGGGAGCGAAGGGGAUUAGAUACCCCCGUAGUCCACGCCGCAAACGAUGUUCACUGGGUGUCGGUCAUUAAUUAGAUCGGUGCCGGAGUUAACGCAUUAAGUGAACCGCCUGGGGACUACGGCCGCAAGGCUAAAACUCAAGAGAAUUGACGGGGCCCUGCACAAGCGGUGGAGCACGUGGUUUAAUUCGAUGAUAAGCGAAGAACCUUACCUGGGCUUGACAUGCUAGCAGUAGGAGCCAGAGAUGGUAACGACCCCUACCUUUGGUAGGGGAACUAGUACAGGUGAUGCAUGGCUGUCGUCAGCUCGUGUCGUGGGGCGUUGGGUUAAGUCCCGAAACGAGCGCAACCCCUGUUGUUAGUUGCCAGCGGGUAAUGCCGGGGACUCUAACAAGACUGCUGGUGAAUAGCCGGAGGAAGGAGGGGAUGACGUCAAGUCAUCAUGUCCCUUAUGUCCAGGGCGACACACAUGCUACAAUGGGAGGUACAAUGGGCUGCUAAACCGCAAGGUCAUGCGAAUCCCAAAAAGCCUUCCUCAGUUCGGAUUGAGGUCUGCAACCCGACCUCAUGAAGCCGGAAUCGCUAGUAAUCGCA
rnacentral:rRNA from 1 species